AUGAAAAAAUGACAAUAUUAUAAAAUUACAUCAGACUAAUAAUAAUAAUAAUAAAAAUCUAUUACAGACUCCAGUCUUAAUGGAAAGUAUUUAUUACUUGAUCCUUUUAAUCUAGUGGGGGGAAAAAGAGAAAAUGCUUCUCAUGAAUAAUAUUUUAGAGUUCCUGACAAAUUUCUAACUAUUUGCAAAGUUAUAUAUAAAAAGUCUAAAGGUGCAAGAAUUAUUCUUUUUUUUUUCUAAUUUAAAUUACUUCUUUAAGUAACUGCUCAGUGCUCUGAGAAGACAACCACUACUCCAUGUUAGUUUUGUGUAUUUUCUGCUUCUUGUUCUGUCGGUGUGUUACUGGGUAAACCUGCCAGCAUAAAUGAUGCAUUUAUGACUGGGAUCAUUUCUACACUGACUAACAAUGCAUUUAUUUUUUAGAUUUCCAUCAACUUUUCUGAAAGACAUUGGAGUGUUUCUAAAGUACUCGUGCGGAUUUCAACUCAUCUCCAAGUCUUCAAGGGUGAUAGCAGCUCCAGACCAUCACACUACCUCCACCACAUUAGAUCUACUUUUUCUGAAACCUUCUGUUUGACUUGCACCUGACAUGACGAGAAAAACGCCUUCACUUUAGUCUCCUUAGUCAACAGAAUAUUUUCCCAAAUUUCAUCAAGAUAUUUUUAAGAGAAAGGUAAGACGAGCCUUUCUGCUUUUGUUUUAAUCAACAUGGAGCUGCAACUACAUCCCUUUUUUUAUUUUUAUGUGAUGCUAUUUCUGGAAUUCUGCUCAUCAAGGCUAAGAACGUGACAUUCAUGUUAUACUUUUGUCAUUUUCUGGCUCUUUGGAAAUAAUGGUAGAUGCUUUAUGUAAGCUUGAUGUAUCCAUUCCAACACCAGUUCUCACGUUUAUUUAAUUUCUCUUUGGAAUCAACAAAGUCAUUUUUGCAUUUUUAAUUGAAUUCAAUGUGUGUUUGGCAUGAUGUCAUUGUUGGCACACGUAAGUUUCAAAGUACCUGUUGAACUGAAGUGAAGUUGAAGAAUUAA